CAGUCGCCACGGUAAUACAGAUGGUGCGAGCGUUAAUCGGAUUUACUGGGCGUAAAGCGUGCGUAGGCGGCUUCUUAAGUCGGAUGUGAAAUCCCUGAGCUUAACUUAGGAAUUGCAUUCGAUACUGGGAAGCUAGAGUAUGGGAGAGGAUGGUAGAAUUCCAGGUGUAGCGGUGAAAUGCGUAGAGAUCUGGAGGAAUACCGAUGGCGAAGGCAGCCAUCUGGCCUAAUACUGACGCUGAGGUACGAAAGCAUGGGGAGCAAACAGGAUUAGAUACCCCCGUAGUCCCUGUCUCUUAUAC
rnacentral:rRNA from 1 species